CCUACACCACAGCUCACCGCAACGCCUGAUCAUUAACCCAUGAGCAAGGGCAGGGACCGAACCCGCAACCUCAUGGUUCCUAGUUGGAUUCGUUAACCACUGCGCCCCAAUGGGAACUCCCCUCCUUCAUUAUUUUAUUGCCCUUUCCUUUGAGCUGGGGUACCAGGUUAUCACCCUCCACUCAUGAUCUACAAAUCUUAAGAAAAAAAGCACUAAGAGUAUUACACUCAGUGAAAUAGGUCAGGCAGAAAAAGACAAAUACUGCAUUAUCUCACCUAUGUGUGCAAUCUAAAAACAAACAAACAAGCUCAUACUCUAGAUACAUAGAACAGAUGGUUGGCUACCAGAGAUGAGGUAGGGGGAAGGGAAUGUGUGAAGGGAGUCAAAAGAAGAUACAAACUUUCAGGUACAAAAUAAGUCAUGAGGAUGUAAUACACAGCAUGGUCUGGUUAAGAGUACCGUAUUUCAUAUUUGAAUGUUAAGAAAGAAUAGAUCUUAAAAGUUGUCAAAAAAAAACCCCACAAAAUUCUGUAAUCAUAUAAGGUGAUUGAUGUUACUUGACUUACUGUGGUGCUCACUUCACAACAGAUACAAUACACAUCAUAGCCUAUGUCAUAUUAAUCAGUCACUGAGGGAGAGCUUCUCUCUGGCAUUGUUAAUUCCCUGGUACUCCUAGGCUACUGCAUAGGCAAGGGAAGAAUAACUUUCAGUGCAUUGGGAAAAAUCCCUUGGGCACAGAGAUGCAGACUCUGACAGUUGGAAAGGGUCUGAAGCAGGCUGAAUACACACUCUGAGGGUGUAGUUGGACAGCGUGAGGACACCGACAGCAAACGCUAUACCUACCAUGGUAUCACUCAUAUGUCAUUUCAAGUUAUUUAAAGAUACAAAUUACAUACCACUAUGUAAAAUUCUUGAAAUACUUAUUCAGUAUACUCUGGCGAUCAAUUCAAUGAACUAUGUUAAAACGCAAGAAAGGCGAAAUAGCAGUGAACACACAGAAAUGUAUCUAAUUACCAGUAAAUGUGGUAUGUGUAAACUUAAAAGAAAAAUGUGAUUUUUGAAAGAGAAUAUUUAACUAUUAAAAGCCAGAUUAAUUCAGUGGUGUCAGUGUUGCUGGCUGUUACCAACGGAUUAUAUCAUUAUGAUCAGAAAGAGGGAGUAGAGGUGAAUCAAAGUAAAAUUAUAUUAAAUUUAUCUUUUUGCACACAAAAUUUAUUUUUUUUUAACUUUAUAGGGCCACACUCACAGCAUAUGGAGGUUCCCAGGCUAGGGGUAGAAUCAGAGCUGUAGCCGCUGGCCUACACCAGAGCCAUAGCAACUCGGGAUCCAAGCUGCGUCUGCAACCUACACCACAGCUCACGGCAACCCACUGAGCAAGGCCAGGGAUUGAACCUACAAGCCCAUGGUUCCUAGUUGGAUUCGUUAACCACUGAGCCGCGAUGGGAACUCCUGCACACGGAAUUUUAAAGUCGCAAUAUAUUUGAAUUGUAAAUGCAAGGAAAAUUGUAAACACAAAAGCAAAAAAAACAAAAACAAAAACAAAAAACCUAGGUCAUAUUUUAAUAAAUAUGAAAUAAGAGCACAUUUUCAUGGUCACAGUGACAAAAAGUCAACUCUAGGUUGCCUUCAUAUUGAAAUAAUAGUGGAAAGUCUUUUGGAACCAAGGGCAGCAAUGCAGUGGGGCCUCCAGAUUAGAACUGGAGUGUCAAACUCCUCUGGAACCCACUCCUGGUCUCACCUUUGCUCAUCUCUCCGUGGUGGCUUAUCUCUCUUUCUGCAGACUGAUAUUCUCUUUCCCUGGCCCAUUUCAGAAAACAUGGUCAUCUAAAUCUCCUGAUUUCAAGGUUAUAAGUCUAAACUUAGUGAGAGACAUAUCUUUUUUCCACUGGCUUUUUACUUUACAUCUUGAAGUCUUCCAACCCAGAGCAGUGGUUUGUUUGGUACUGGAUAACAAAGAUCUGAUAAAAAUUCAACAGAUUGCAUCUUCCCAGGAAAAUGGUGUGACAGGGCUUAGAGUGGUUGGAGAGCUGAUCAUGAAAGAAUCUUAAACCACUACCUUAUUAGCACUGAGCAAAGAAAGAAGAUUCAAUCUAUAUAUAAUAACUGUCUCUAUAAAAGAAACUACAACAAAUGGAGAAGCCAUGGGCAAUAACUAGGUAAAGAUGGAACUGACACUAUGCCUUCCAGAUAGGGGUUCUCAAAAUAAAUCACUUAAACAAGAGUUGGAAUUUUAGCUACUUAGAAAGCAACUCUUUCACUCUCUUUCCAAGAAGUGUGGACAAAGCAAGGUAUCCUAUGGUGUAUUAGGAACUCCUAGCAAAUGGCUAAUAAACUGGGGGACCUCUGUCAGUCUUUGGCAGGACUACAAUAAUGAUGUUAAAGAUGCUCAUGUUAAUGACAGCAGCAAUGGCUGUAUAGACUUGAGCAGAUAACAUCUAAGCUGAGGGUUGAAGAGUUGGAAGAAUUAAGGCAGAUGGAAGAGAGAGAGCAAAUGUGUUCUUGGCAGUGAAUUUGAUGUAUAGGUAAAGAUGCAAAGGAUAAAGCACAAAAUAUUGGACAUAAAUAUAGAUUUGAGAAUUGAGGCAUAGUUGGAGGAAAAAGUGAUGAGCAAAGAGGAUUUUCUUUGUGGCUUUUAGAAGGCGAGAGGGAAGGAGAGAGAAAGAGAGAGAGAAGGGGAGAAACUUGGACCUCUGGUGUCUUUUCUUACAAGGGUGCUAAUUUCAUCAUGAGGGCCCCACUCUCAUGACCUCAUCUAACCCUAAAGAUACAUUUCCUAUUUAUUUUAUUAAUUUUGUACUAGGAUAAAGUCAUAGAGCAUAGAAGUUAGGACCAUGGAUUCUGAAAUCAGAUUUCCAGAGUUGUGUUUCCUAUUAUAUUGUCAGCAGUGUUGUAACCUUAGAUAAGCAAUUUGAUCUAGGAAUAUCUUGGUCUGGUCACAUAUUUAUAAACUGAGGUAAAUAAACAUAACAACUUAACAGACAUGUAAAAAAUUAAUGAGUUCAUGUGUGUAAAGCACUAGAACAGUGUCUGCACAAAUGAAGUACCCAAUAUAUUUCUAUUGCUAUUAUAUCAUAUUCUAUCAUGAUUUCUACUUCUAAGGAAUGGUUCCUUACCACCUUCUAGACUAUGUUUACAUUAAAGCUAUCUAUUAUUAUCAUUUUAAAAUGUAUCUGUUAUCAGCCAUGAUACUUGGUUUUAGAGCUUAACUGCCCCUCUCUCCAGGGAUAUCUAGUUGAUAAGUUUUCUGUGAAAAAUAUCUUCCCUGGUCGGCAGAGCUGUAUUUCAUUCCUUGCCAAUUUAUCAUCCCAUUUCCAUAAGCCAGAAUAAUCAAUCCCAAUUUUUGAUAACAUACAUAGAGUCAGCCAUUCUUUUCUAAAAAUCUCUUUUAAAGGUCAUUAUAUUUGAGCUAGAAAAAAACAGGGAAAAAAUAUUUCUCUUCCUUGCUUCCUUCCUUUUCAAGGCUUUCCAUAUAUUAUCCACUUCUUUAAAAAUUAAAGUUGGUUUACAAUGUUGUGCCAAUUUCUGCUAUACAGAAAAUUGACCCAGUCAUAUUCAUAUAUAUAUAUGUGUGUGUGUGUGUGUGUGUGUGUGUAUAUAUAUAUAUAUGUAUGCGUGUGUAUAUAUAUGUGUGUGUGUAUGUAUAUGUAUAUAUACUCUUCUUCUCAUAUUAUCUUCUAUCAUGUUCUAUUCCAAGAGAUUGGUUAUAGUUCCCUGUGCUGUACAGUAGAAUUUCAUUGUUUAUUCAUUCUCCAUGUAAUAGUUUGCAUCUAAAUGGGUGCAACUAGAGAUUAUCAUACUAAGAUAAGUUGGAAUGUGAAAGACAAAUACUAUAUGCUAUCACUUAUACAUGGACUCUAAAAUAAGGCAUAUAUUAUGCACUCUGGAAUUUAACUUUAAAAAAUUUACACAUUGAAAUGUUAUUUCACCUUGUUACUUUCAUUCCUGUAUGUAUUUACAGCAUGUGAUUGUGGUCACGUGGUUUGGUGAAUCUGGCAGAUACUUUAUCAUGCAAACUUGCAGCCAUAACAGCAUGGAAAGAGCAGGAUACAGGGAGUCAACACAUCUAUCUAUGCAAGUCUGAGGCUUUUCAGGAUAUAGCCUGUGCAAGUCAUUUAAUUUCACAAAGCAUCAAUUUUUUUCCCCUCUAAAAGAUGAGAAAUACAGCUGGAGAUCUCAAAAGUUCCCUUCAGUUUGGAAAUGUUUUGACUCCAGGAAGAUUGCAUACCUCUAUGAUCAAGGCAUAUGCAGCCUGAACUACACUAGGUUCUGAAUCCCAAAGCAAAUUACCAAUGCUAUUUAUACCCUAUUCUAUAGCAUUAAUAGCAGGAUUUCUUACACAUCUGUAAGUUGUACUUGGCUUUGGUAAAAUAUGGAUGGGGCACCACUGUAGUUUAUCUUCUGUCAAAGAUUAAUUGACUGUAGGUGUCUGGGUUUAUUUCUGGUUUCUCUAUUCUGUUCCAUUGGUCCAUAUGUCUGUUUUGGUACCAGUAACACACUGUCUUGAUUACUGUGACUUUGUAAUAUUGCCUGAAGUCUGGGAGAGUUAUGCCUCCUGCUCGGUUUUUGUUCUUCAGGAUUGCUUUGGCAAUUUUGGGUCUUUUAUGGUUCCAUGUACAUUUUUGGAUUGUUUGUUCUAGUUCUGUGAAAAAUGUCAUGGGUAAUUUGAUAGGGAUUGAAUUGAAUCUGUAGACUGCUUUGGGUAGUAUGGCCAUUAAUAACAAUAUUAAUUUUUACAACCCAGGAGCAUGGAAUAUCUUUAGUGAAAUGCAAACCAAAACUAUCAUGAGAUAUCACGUCACACCAGUAAGAAUGGCCAUCAUUAAUAAGUCCACAAAUAACAAAUGCUGGAGGGGGUGUAGAGAAGGGAAUCCUCCUGCACUGUUGGUGGGAAUGUAAGUUGGUACAACCACUAUGGAAAACAGUAUGGAGUUACCUUAGAAGACUAUACAUAGUAUAUAGAACUAUACAUAAACAUAUGACCCAGCAAUCCCACUCUUGGGCACACAUCUGGAAAAAAUUUUCCUUGAAAAAGACACAUGUACCCGCAUGUUCACUGCAGCACUAUUCACAAUAGCCAAGACAUGGAAACAACUUAAAUGUCCAUCGACAGAUGACUGGAUUAAGAAGAUGUGAUAUAGAUACUCAGUGGAAUACUACUCAGUCAUAAAAAAGAAUAAAAUAAUGCCAUUUGCAGCAACCUGGAUGGAACUAGAGACUCAUAAUAAGUGAAGUAAGUCAGAAAGAGAAAGACAAAUACCAUGUGAUAUCAGUUAUAUCUGAAAUCUAGUACACAGCACAAAUGAACCUUUCCACAGAAAAGAAGAUCAUGGACUUGGAGAGUAGAUGUGUGGAUGCCAAGAGGGAGGGCGAGGGAGCAGGAUGGACUGGGUAUCUGGGGUUAAUGGAUGCAAACUAACUAUUGCCUUUGGAAGGAUAAGCAAUGAGGUCCUGCUGUGUAACACUGGGAACUAUACCUAGUCACUUAUGAUGGAAUAUGACAAUGUGAGAAAAAAAAUCUAUACAUAUAUGUGUAACUCAGUCACCAUGCUGUACAGUAAGAAAUUGACAGAACACUGUAAACCAGCUAUAAUGAAAACAAAUAAAAAUCGUUAUUAAAAAAAAACCUUAAGCAAGAAACAGUGAUGAGAGCACAUUUUCUUUCAUGUACAACUGCUCUAAUGAUUACCAAGAUUAUUCCUGGUGCUCAUCUCUAACUAAUGAACUUGUAAUCUGCUUAACUAGAACAGGGGAAAAUUUCAAAAGGUGGAUCGUAUUUGCCCUUGCUGCUCUGUAAAUGGGAGCACCUUUAUAAAGGUGCUCCUUCCUUCUCUCUGUGUAGGAUGUGCUUAAAUGAGGAAUUUUCCAGUUAAAUUUUAUGAAGUGCAUUUCUCCCUUCUUGUCACAGAAACAUAAUUUGAUCAGUGUUCAAAAAGAGAAUUUUCCCCUUUCAAAAUUGUGUGGGUUGAAAAACUCUUCUUGUUGUCAAGUUCUUCAUGACUAAUAAAUGCUACCUGUAUCAAGUCUUCUAAUUAUCUUCAAGAUUUUGGAUUUUAGAGCCAGCAGUUUUAUUAUUUUACCAUCUGCCAGAAUGUUUUUGGCAGGAUUCAGUAGAAAAAUAGGCAAUGUGGAUGAAAACUUGACUAAUUAAAUAUUAAGCCUAAGUAUAAAAAUGAUACCAUGGAGUUUUGCUUAAGCAAAUCCAACACUGCAUUUGGUACUACCAGGUUCAUGGGCGCUUACCAAACUUUACCCACUGACCAGGCCAUUUACACCAAAAGAAACUAAAGAGGAAGAAAAGAAUACUUUCUACAGCAGUUAAUGUUUAAUUCCUUCUGAGAGCAGAUUUUAUUUAAAUGACUUAUAAUUUUAAGUUAUUAAAAAUAACAAAUUGACAAAGAAAGCUAAAGAUCCAAAUAAUAUAUUUAAAGAAACAUAUUUUCCCAGAAAUAAUGUCUUCAUUGAGACCUAAGGUGCUUUUUGUGAUCCUUAUAAGUUUUUCUCUAUCCAUCACACAGGGAAUGUAGGCAUGUGAACUGUAGACUGCCUGAAUAGUUUAGAUGUCUCCUAGACUGAGUAAAUUGCUUCUAAACAGAAAUGCAGCAAGUAUGCUCUUUUACCUAAAGUAGAAACAAAUUCUUUCUAUGCUAUGAAGGUGCCCACACUACCAUUUUAAGGGAG
rnacentral:lncRNA from 1 species